rnacentral:rRNA from 1 species
CCCUUAGACGUUCUGGGCCGCACGCGCGCUACACUGACGAAGGCAACGAGCUUUCCUUUACCGAAAGGUACGGGUAAUCUUUUGAAACUUCGUCGUGCUGGGGAUAGAUCCUUGCAAUUAUUGACCUUAAACGAGGAAUUCCUAGUAAGCGCAAGUCAUCAACUUGCGUUGAUUACGUCCCUGCCCUUUGUACACACCGCCCGUCGCUACUACCGAUUGAAUGGUUUAGUGAGGCCUUCGGAUCCGCGACUCGUUUUGUGGAGAAGUUGGACAAACUCAGUCAUUUAGAGGAAGUAAAAGUCGUAACA